CUCCCUCUGAUGUCACAAUGUCUCCCCAGGCGAUUGGUCUCCUCCAGCUUCCUCUGGCCUCAUUCUGCCCUCGUCCUCCGCUCACCGCUGCCCUGCCUUGCCUGCCCUUAGCCUCUGUCCUUGCCUCUCAUUGCGAUUCUGGACCCAACCAAUCAAAUCACCAGAAAAACCAACACUCUUUAAUUGGAAUUUCCCAGAAGACAUCACAGCCCUGUUUCAACACUGUGUCACCACAAGCUGCUUCCCGUGGGACAAUUAAUUAUUCGAACAGAAAGAUGGAGUAGCCACACAGAGCCCUCUUAACCGUGUUAUUGAAAGUUUUACAUGGAAAACUUUGAGAAAAAAAGCCCUUGAAACAGCACCAACCCCCCCCCCCCCCCGUAUCGUUCCGACAUGUUGAUGACACCUUCACCAUUUGGAGCCACGGAGAAGAAAAACUGAACAAGUUCCUGGACCACAGCAACAACUUCGAAACAAACAUCCGAUUUAAUUUGAUAACACAGAAAUUCUAGAUCACUCUGAUAGCCGUUAUGUCAGACUACACAGAGAAGCCAUUAAAAUCCACAAGCACAUGGGCAAUUUCAACAGAAAGAGGAAACCAUGAAAAUGAACAAAAUCUGGAUGCCAUUUUUAAAAAAACACCAGAAACAAGACAGUAAACAAAGAACACCCCUCAGAAAACAGAGAACUCCAGACAGCAAACUAUCAAGUGCCAGUUAACACCUCCCAAACAGAGGAUGCCUCCAGGCAACAAAAACCAGGCUACCUCUAUACAGAUACUCUCACUGAUUGACUUUACAGGUUCAUGGCCACACAAUGCUAUUCAAGCUUGCUAAUUUGCAACAUUAACACUUUUAAGAGACAAGGUUUUUUUCUCCCACCCUGGACAUUCCACAGAUAUAUACACUCCACUUGCAUCAUUACCAACAGAACCUCUGAAGAAGCCUGCCACAGAUGCAGGAGAAACAUCAGGAAAGAAUGCUACUGGAAAAAAAUGCAGCCUGAAAAACUCACAUCAACCCAGUAAUUCUGGCCAUGAAAGCCUUCUACAACACAUUAAACUUCGAGUGCCUUCUUGGAUACCAGCUCAUCUGUCUGUGCAAGAAAAAGCGGCCGUAGCCCUCUUGCAAGGAGUAGGCAACAUGACCUCCCGAUCCUUGUGCAAGCAACACUUUUUGUCACAGGAACCAUGGUUGCUGGAUAUUGUAUGGAUGCUACAAGGGCAAGCAGUUGGAUAAUAUCAGGCCAAAGAUUGUAUUUCUCGAUUCUUUGGAAUCAGGCUAGUUUUGUUUUAAGGGGGUUUAUGCAAAUCCUCAUCUGACCAUAUAGGGCGGAUGGCAAAUGGGCCUGAAGUGGACCACUGUGUACACGGGUGGAGUAGAGUGGGCACUCGCGGAAGACUGUUGUUAUCUCGAGGAGGCAAGCGAGGUGGGGUGCUCAGUCGUUCCAUUUUUCUCUACCCAUUCCCCCUUCAAAAGAAACCCUAAAGGAACAAAAUCUUUUAAAGAGGGAAAAUGUCACUUUUUUCCUUUCUUAUGCCUACUUCAUUGUUAAGAACAAAUUGGAAUGGAAUGAGAGGGAGUCCAGAUGGCUGAUGUAAAACCGAUGUGAUCCAUUAGCUUCUUGGAUCGGAGCCUAAUGCUGAACCUUGAUCCAGGCUGAGACCAGGAGAAUGCGGCAUGUUGGUGGCCAGCCUGGGGUCGUCCUCGUUGCCGUUCAAGGGGUUCCCAGCAAUGGAUUGAGGAGAACCUGCUUGGCUCUUCAUUCUUCUGUUUUUGUCACCAUGUCUCUUUCUCAAAUAAAUGUAUUUCUUGAAUUGUUA